rnacentral:rRNA from 1 species
AACGAACGCUGGCGGCAGGCCUAACACAUGCAAGUCGAGCGGGGGGGUAACCCCUAGCGGCGGACGGGUGAGUAACGCGUGGGAACGUGCCCUUUGCUUCGGAAUAGCCCCUGGAAACGGGGAGUAAUACCGGAUGUGCCCUACGGGGGAAAGAAUUUCGGCAAAGGAUCGGCCCGCGUUGGAUUAGGUAGUUGGUGGGGUAAUGGCCUACCAAGCCGACGAUCCAUAGCUGGUUUGAGAGGAUGAUCAGCCACACUGGGACUGAGACACGGCCCAGACUCCUACGGGAGGCAGCAGUGGGGAAUCUUAGACAAUGGCGCAAGCCUGAUCUAGCCAUGCCGCGUGAGCGAUGAAGGCCUUAGGGUUGUAAAGCUCUUUCGUGGGGGGAAGAUAAUGACGGUACCCCAAGAAGAAGCCCCCGGCUAACUCCGUGCCAGCAGCCGCGGUAAU